GAACUUGUUAGAAAAUAAAAUAAAAUGAAGGUUGCAAAGAUUGGGAUUGCAAGAGCUCUUGUGGAAUCAUUACAUGGAGGCCUUACUUCUUCUAGUUUAGUUUCAACAAGCAUUGCUUUAAAAGUUGUUGCUGUCAAUGUAAGUUCUAAAUAAAGCUUCUAAAUUAACUAAUAGACAUUGAAGCUUUUUUCCCUUAGAUGUUAAAACAAAUUAAAAAGAAAAAACCAGCAGGCUGCAGCAACAAUACAUGAAGCAUCAAUCAUUCAAUUAAAUCUUGAAACUUAUUCCAGUAAAAAAAUAAAUAAAUAAAUA
rnacentral:misc_RNA from 1 species